rnacentral:misc_RNA from 1 species
GAUGAAGAACGUAGCGAAAUGCGAUAAGUAAUGUGAAUUGCAGAAUUCAGUGAAUCAUCGAAUCUUUGAACGCACAUUGCGCCCGCCAGUAUUCUGGCGGGCAUGCCUGUUCGAGCGUCAUUUCAACCAUCAAGCCCCCGGCUUGUGUUGGGGACCUGCGGCUGCCGCAGGCCCUGAAAACCAGUGGCGGGCUCGCUAGUCACUCCGAGCGUAGUAAUACAUCUCGCUCAGGGCGUGCUGCGGGUUCCGGCCGUUAAAAAGCCUUAUUUACCCAAGGUUGACCUCGGAUCAGGUAGGAAGACCCGCUGAACUUAAGCAUAUCAAGCGGAGGA